rnacentral:lncRNA from 1 species
UAUCCACUUUCUUUUGUUGGUUAGAAUUAUAAAGUUGUAAACAAUCAUGUAUUUUGGGAGAAUGAUUAAGAUGUAAAAGAAUUUAUGAAUGAAAGUAAAGAGAAUGUAAUAGUUUUAGUUUACUAAUAUUUGGUUUAAAUAUAGUCAAAUAUUAUGUAUGGUUUUAUAUUUUAGCUUAGAGUUUUCGCUUCUGUUGUUGCUUGCCCUCGUGCAAGUCUUGUAUAAUUG